GUCUCUGUAGCGCACUGGAUAGCGCGUUGGAAUUGUAAUCUAAAGGUCGUGGACUGGAAUCCUACCUGGGAUA